GUAUUGUCGUCAGACUUAACGAGGAGUAAGACCAACCGAACAAGACAGUGCACCCCCGUUCCCCCGAAGUGGUAGAUCCCAGCUUACGGCUGUUCUUGCACUCUUUGAUUGCAAUUUCCUGCCGACGCUUUGGUCGGAGUGAGGCACGCAGUAAGGUGCAAACUCACACACAUAAAAUGAGAUCGUGCAGCAAGGAAGCAACACUGGGAGCUGGGCCAUCGCCGAAGACCCUCCGACAGAAAUGACGGCAGCAGAUUAUCCGAGAGAGAAGCCAGCUCAAUGGACACUGACGAAGCCGAAGAAUGAACUUACAAUCAAGCCGAACAGAGGACAUCCACAAUUGUUGGAAGAUAAUACCUAAAAAUAUCAUAUGUAUAAUGCACAAGCUCUCAAAUAAAACAGUUUUAUUAAUUUCACAGAUUCUGUUGAGUUCCAGAUACUGAAGUACUAUCUCACAUCUGUCAUUUCUGCCUCUGGACAGGAAGGUAUGGUUGAUAAAAUAAGUUCCCAGUGCUGCUUUACAGUACAGGCACAUCUAUUACAACAACACUGUACUUAAACAUGCCUUUAUGAAUUUUCAGGAGAUACAUUAAAUAUUUCAGAUUCUAUGUCAAGCUUCUAAGGGCUUUUAAUAUUUAGAACAUGGACCUGAGUAUUUAGUGUUUGUAAAGAAUUUGUUGUAAUCUCUUCCUAUCCUGGAUAGUAGCAUGUUUGUUGAAAAGCUGUAUGUAUAAUCAUAGUGUGGCAGGUUUAGAUCCUAUAAGAACCACUUUUACCCUUCAGUGAGGAACUUCAGUUGAAUUGUCUCGCUAAACAUCCAGCAUAAAUGCAUUAAUUGACAUGAAAUAUGUAUG